AACGGAGUUUUAACGGAAGUUUCGGAUGGAAGUUAGAACUAGUGGCGGACGGGUGAGUAACGCGUGGGUAACCUGCCUCAUACGAGGGGGAUAACAGUUAGAAAUGACUGCUAACACCGCAUAAUAUAGCGAAACCGCAUGAUUUUGCUAUCAAAUAUUUAUAGGUAUGAGAUGGGCCCGCGUCUGAUUAGCUAGUUGGUGGGGUAAAGCCGUACCAAGGCGACGAUCAGUAGCCGGCUUGAGAGAGUGACCGGCCACAUUGGGACUGAGACACGGCCCAAACUCCUACGGGAGGCAGCAGUGGGGAAUAUUGGACAAUGGGGGAAACCCUGAUCCAGCGAACCGCCGCGUGAGUGAAGAAGUAUUUCGGUAUGUAAAGCUCUAUCAGCAGGGAAGAUAAUGACAGUACCUGACUAAGAAGCCCCGGCUAACUACGUGCCAGCCGCUGC
rnacentral:rRNA from 1 species